rnacentral:rRNA from 1 species
CCUACGGGUGGCAGCAGUGGGGAAUAUUGGACAAUGGGGGGAACCCUGAUCCAGCCAUGCCGCGUGUGUGAAGAAGGCCCUCGGGUUGUAAAGCACUUUCAGUGAGGAAGAACGCCUGGUGGUUAAUACCCAUCAGGAAAGACAUCACUCACAGAAGAAGCACCGGCUAACUCCGUGCCAGCAGCCGCGGUAAUACGGAGGGUGCGAGCGUUAAUCGGAAUUACUGGGCGUAAAGCGCGCGUAGGUGGCUUGAUAAGCCGGUUGUGAAAGCCCCGGGCUCAACCUGGGAACGGCAUCCGGAACUGUCAAGCUAGAGUGCAGGAGAGGAAGGUAGAAUUCCCGGUGUAGCGGUGAAAUGUGUAGAGAUCGGGAGGAAUACCAGUGGCGAAGGCGGCCUUCUGGACUGACACUGACACUGAGGUGCGAAAGCGUGGGUAGCAAACAGGAUUAGAUACCCUAGUAGUC